rnacentral:tRNA from 1 species
GUUUAGCUCAGCUGGUUCUUGGCAUUCCGAUGCAUCGGAAGGGUCGGGGGUUCGAAUCCCUCAACGCCCA